rnacentral:rRNA from 1 species
UACGGAAGGCAGCAGUGGGGAAUCUUGCGCAAUGGGCGAAAGCCUGACGCAGCCAUGCCGCGUGAAUGAUGAAGGUCUUAGGAUUGUAAAAUUCUUUCACCGGGGACGAUAAUGACGGUACCCGGAGAAGAAGCCCCGGCUAACUUCGUGCCAGCAGCCGCGGUAAUACGAAGGGGCUAGCGUUGCUCGGAAUUACUGGGCGUAAAGGGCGCGUAGGCGGAUCGUUAAGUCAGAGGUGAAAUCCCAGGGCUCACCCUGGAACUGCCUUUGAUACUGGCGAUCUUGAGUAUGAGAGAGGUAUGUGGAACUCCGAGUGUAGAGGUGAAAUUCGUAGAUAUUCGGAAGAACACCAGUGGCGAAGGCGACAUACUGGCUCAUUACUGACGCUGAGGCGCGAAAGCGUGGGGAGCAAACAGGGAUUAGAUACC